UACGAGUGCCCCGAGCGUUAUCCGGAAUCAUUGGGCGUAAAGGGUGUGUAGGCGGUUGUGUUAGUCUUCUGUCAAAUUCUUCGGCUUAACCGGGGGCAUGCAGGGGAAACGGCACAACUAGAGGAUGCGAGAGGUGAAUGGAACUCAUGGAGUAGGGGUGAAAUCCGUUGAUAUCAUGGGGAACACCGAAAGCGAAGGCAAUUCACUGGCGCACUCCUGACGCUGAGACACGAAAGCGUAGGUAGCGAAUGGG
rnacentral:rRNA from 1 species